AAAUACUAGAUUUCAAUGCUGAUUAAUGUCAAUGUCAAAACUUACAAACCUCACAACUGAAUAAUUCUGGAUGCAUACUCUAUGGCAUGCAGAGCUCAUUAUUAACCUUAGCCUUCCUUGGCAUUGAUACACCACUUUUGCCAACUUGGAGGCCUGAACACCACAUUAAUUCCAUAACAGGUGGCAAAACUCCUACUACCCGAUGAGUCAAGAGUGAAGCACAUUUUAAGCAAAUAUUGUGUAGGCUGUCUUCUCUCACAAGAGGUAUGUUUCAGGGGGCAUCCAUAUUUUCAAAUGGGAGUUUGUAAAAUAUAAGUAUUUCAAGUUUUCCAAAGAAAGCAGUAAAUAAAUACAGUAGCAUUUCAUCAUGCAAACAUUUUAACAUGUCUCAAACCACAGGAACUCUGUCUCAUGCCAUGAAAAUCUUAUAAACAAUAUUUUCAUUUGUAUGCUUUAUUGUAUUUUGUAUGUUAUUCUAUUACUAAUAUAUAUUCUACAUUCAUGUGAUUCUAUAGGAUUGAACAUAUUUAACUCAUUUGUAUUUCUGGAGAAUUUUUAGCAAUUUUCAAAAAUGAAGCUGACCUCAGGUGAUUUUUGACUACGUACUGAGUUUAGGACACAAACAGUAUCAUAUGCACCUCAGUGUCAUUUACAAAAGUUUGCCCUUACGUGGUUCCCAUUCACCCAGGCCCUACCUCCCCCGUUCCUUCUGACCUGGCUCAGAAUCUCCUCCUCUCAUUUUGAUCUCUGCCUCUUCCAUCUCUUCCUCUGGAAUCACUGAGAACUUUGACUAUUUGAACUUUCUCCUCAGCUGAUCCCCCUACAUAUACAUAUUUCUUGUAUUAUUUGCUAUGGUAUUUUGUCUUUUUUCCCCCAGUUUCCUUUACCCUUCCUCAAUCCUCCUCCUUCUUUUCCAGGCUAUGAUGAGUAGAAAGAGCCUUAAAUGCCUACUCUGGCCAUUGUUGUCCCCUGAUCCUGAAAAUGCUGACUCCUUCCUGUGGGGUCACAGCACUGCUCAUCACCAUGUCAAGAUACUGGCAAAGCUUCUGUGGGAUGCCUGCUCCAACCACUAGAGGACAGUCCUCAGUGAGGAAGAAAGAAAUUCUGCCGAUGCCCCAGGGCAAUGAAUUCAUGCAACUGACCAAGUCUACAAUGAGGAUGACAAAAAAAACCCAGGAGGACUCAAGAUGGCGCUGUGAGAACAACCCAGGAUUGGAGCUCUCGUUGAAUCCGCAAAGUGGUGAGUCAGAGCUGCAUUUCCAUACUGAUCUUUGUUGCCCACAGAACGGGGAAACUCCCAAGUAUAAAAAAGACACAGGACGCCAGGCAGUAGGUCUGCCUGGUGAAGCCGGCAGCCGGGGCGGCGGCAGCCGGCCCUACCCAGCAAUCCCCACAGGGCGUGCUUGUCCGGGUGCCCUGUUGAACCGGCAACCUGAGACUUGAGAGGGCUGGACUUGAGACUGAAUGAGACUUGGACAGUAGGCCAGCCCAGGGGAUUGCAGGGACAGACCGUUUGGGGUACCCAGUGGGACGAACAAAACCACGAUAUCAAACUAUCCCGAGCAGACGGUCUGAGAGGCUCUGUGGGGGAGGGGCGUCCACCACUACCAAGGCAACCCACCCCAACUGAGAUACACGCCCACUGCUGACGCAGCCUCCCAUUGCCGAGGCAACCAGUCCCUACUGAGAUACACGCCCACUGCUGACGCAGCCUCCCGUUGCCGAGGCAACCCGUCCCUACUGAGAUACAUGCCCACUGCUGACGCAGCCUGCCGUUGCCAAGGCAACACGCUACAAGGAAGAGACUCCGCUGCAGGGCGUGGCGGAGACCACAGCAGAGCCUGCAGGAACAGGGCGAAUCACACAACAGCAGGGGGGAGCCUCAGCAGGCAAACAGUGGCUAGUCUGCCUCCUAGCUGGGCAGGACACUUCAACGGACAUCAAAAAAUAAAGCCCGAAACCCCCAACA
rnacentral:lncRNA from 13 species